AAUUACAUGGUGAAUACAAAGUGAAUUAUACUUUUGCCUUUUACUAAAGAAUACUGUGUGUUCGCCACUUUCAGCAACAAGUGUUAUUUUUUGUAAGGCUUUUUUGAUAAAGAGGCC